rnacentral:rRNA from 1 species
GACAGAGGGUGCAAACGUUGUUCGGAAUUACUGGGCGUAAAGCGCGUGUAGGCGGUCGUGCAAGUCGGGUGUGAAAUCCCACGGCUCAACCGUGGAAGUGCACUCGAAACUGCAUAGCUAGAGUCCUGGAGAGGAAGGUGGAAUGCUUGGUGUAGAGGUGAAAUUCGUAGAUAUCAAGCGGAACACCGGUGGCGAAGGCGGCCUUCUGGACAGUGACUGACGCUGAGACGCGAAAGCGUGGGGAGCAAACAGG